rnacentral:rRNA from 1 species
GAUGAACGCUGGCGGCGUGCCUAAUACAUGCAAGUCGAGCGAACGGACGAGAAGCUUGCUUCUCUGAUGUUAGCGGCGGACGGGUGAGUAACACGUGGAUAACCUACCUAUAAGACUGGGAUAACUUCGGGAAACCGGAGCUAAUACCGGAUAAUAUUUUGAACCGCAUGGGUGAAAAGUGAAAGACGGUCUUGCUGUCACUUAUAGAUGGAUCCGCGCUGCAUUAGCUAGUUGGUAAGGUAACGGCUUACCAAGGCAACGAGGCGUAGCCGACCUGAGUGGGUGAUCGGCCACACUGGAGCUGAGACACCGUCCAGACUCCUACGGGAGGCAGCAGUAGGGAAUCUUCCGCAGUGGGCGGAAGCCUGACGGAGCAGCGCCGCGUGAGUGAUGAAGGUCUUCGGAUCGUAAAACUCUGUUAUUAGGGAAAAACAUAUGUGUAAGUAACUGUGCCCAUCUUGACGGUACCUAAUCAGAAAGCCACGGCUAACUACGUG